rnacentral:rRNA from 1 species
AUGCUGCCAGCUGGCGUCAAGUUUGAUCCCACCGAUCAGGAGCUGAUCGAGCACCUUGAGGCCAAAGUGAGUGCUGACAGCAUGGGAUCUCACCCUCUCAUCGAUUUACUUAUACCAACCAUCGACAGCGAGCACGGCAUAUGCUACACCCAUCCUAAGAAACUUCCAGCGUUCAAAAGGGGCACAUGGACGCGUCGCAAGAUACAGUCUGAGUGCGGCAUGCACGCGAUGUGGCACAAGACCGGCAAUACCUUCCCGGUGAUGUUCAUUGGCCGGCAGACGGGCAACAAAAAGGUUCUAGUGUUGCACACCAACAAGAACUUCGACCAGUAG